AUUGAACGCUGGCGGCAGGCCUAACACAUGCAAGUCGAGCGGAUGAAGGGAGCUUGCUCCUGGAUUCAGCGGCGGACGGGCGAGUAAUGCCUAGGAAUCUGCCUGGUAGUGGGGGAUAACGUCCGGACACGGGCGCUAAUACCGCAUACGUCCUGAGGUAGAAAGUGGGGGAUCUUCGGACCUCGCGCUUUCUGAUGAGCCUAGGUCGUAUUAGCUAGUUGGUGGGGUAAAGGCUUACCAAGGCGACGAUCCGUAACUGGUCUGAGAGGAUGAUCAGUCACACUGGAACUGAGACACGGUCCAGACUCCUACGGGAGGCAGCAGUGGGGAAUAUUGGACAAUGGGCGAAAGCCUGAUGGAGCAAUGCCGCGUGUGUGAAGAAGGUCUUCGGAUCGUAAAGCACUGUUAGUAGGGAGGAAGGGAAGUAAGUGUAUACCUGCCUGUUUUGACGUUACCAACAGAGUAAGCAACGGCUAACUUCGUG
rnacentral:rRNA from 1 species